CCUACGGGUGGCAGCAGUGAGGAAUAUUGGUCAAUGGGCUUACGCCUGAACCAGCCAAGUCGCGUGAGGGAAGACUGCCCUAUGGGUUGUAAACCUCUUUUGUCAGGGAGCAACGCCGGCUACGUGUAGCCGGACUGAGAGUACCUGAAGAAAAAGCAUCGGCUAACUCCGUGCCAGCAGCCGCGGUAAUACGGAGGAUCCGAGCGUUAUCCGGAUUUAUUGGGUUUAAAGGGAGCGUAGCCGGGAAGGCAAGUCAGAUGUGAAAUCCGGAGGCUCAACCUCCGAAUUGCAUUUGAAACUGUUUAUCUUGAGUACUGGAGAGGCAGACGGAAUUCCUUGUGUAGCGGUGAAAUGCGUAGAUAUAAGGAGGAACACCAGUGGCGAAGGCAGUCUGCUGGACAGCAACUGACGGUGAGGCGCGAAAGCGUGGGGAGCAAACAGGAUUAGAUACCCUUGUAGUC
rnacentral:rRNA from 1 species